CUGUCCCGGGGGUCGAUCCAGCUGGUCUGCUUGGUGUUGUGAUCGAUGUAGAACACUUUGCCGUCGUAAUCCCUUGCCUCCUCCCAGCCAUCGGAAGCAUCGGUGGAAAAUACACGUACACCAUGUGUGCCCUGAACCCUUGUGGCCUGAAAAGCAGGCAGCUAAGUCGCAUUAAGUAUAGAAACCAGGUGUGAGUUACUGUGUGUUUAUCUCGCAUUUGCCACAGGAGAAGAGUAUCCCAGGCCGGUUACCAUGGUUCAGCUGAUAGAAGGCUAUUUAUCUACUCCAUUAUAGCUGUCUAACAUUCAGCUCUACGAAUUCUUCUUCAGAGACAAUUUACACUUAUUAAGUCCUGGACUUGUUCAGUGCGUAACAAGUUUUUGGAUUCUUCUUCAGAGGCCACAUAUCUGACAGGCAUUGAAGUAACUAAUUUACAGCUCUCUAAGUCCUACUGUUGGAUCUGCUCCUAAAUAGAAAA